GGGUCGUUAGCUCAGUUGGUAGAGCAGUUGACUUUUAAUCAAUUGGUCGCAGGUUCGAAUCCUGCACGACUCACCA
rnacentral:tRNA from 24 species